rnacentral:rRNA from 1 species
GUCCACGCCCUAAACGUUGAUUACUCGUUGUUGGCGAUAUACAGUCAGCGACUAAGCUAAAGCGUUAAGUAAUCCACCUGGGAAGUACGACCGCAAGGUUGAAACUCAAAGGAAUUGACGGGGGCCCGCACAAGCGGAGGAGCAUGUGGUUUAAUUCGAUGAUACGCGAGGAACCUUACCUGGGCUUGAAGUUAGUGACCGCCUCUGAAAGGAGGCUUCUAUUCGGAGCACAAAACUAGGUGCUGCAUGGCUGUCGU